UAAGACAAGUGAACGCUGCGCGCGCUUC
rnacentral:piRNA from 1 species